UAGGAAUCUUCCACAAUGGGCGAAAGCCUGAUGGAGCAACGCCGCGUGUGUGAUGAAGGGUUUCGGCUCGUAAAACACUGUUGUAAGAGAAGAAUGACAUUGAGAGUAACUGUUCAAUGUGUGACGGUAUCUUACCAGAAAGGAACGGCUAAAUACGUACCAG
rnacentral:rRNA from 1 species